rnacentral:sRNA from 1 species
ACUAAGCACAGUUCACACCUUACUGCACUAAUCAUCAUUACUGAUUUAAUUCCAUGUUAUGUAAAUGUAUAUACAGGUAGUUAGGAAUUUAACAAAUUGCAACAACCAUCUAGCCUCUAUUAAAUGAUAUUGAAUUCCAUAAUUAUUAAUCAAAUUUUAUCCACCUGUACAUUAAUUAGAGCAUUUCAUAUUUCAUCUCGCUAAAGAAUUGGAACUUUGCAAAGGUUUGGUAUCAAAUUUUUAAAAGACCAAUUUUUCAUUCUUCAAUUCAAAAUAGAUCAUGAACUUGUAUAUACCAGAUAGAUGUUUUUGAUUUUCAAGAGCUUGAAACCCUUUUAGGAAUGUAAUUAGCUAAAAGAUAAAUUAUAAAUUAUUUUUUGUCGAAAAUAUUGGUAAAUGUUAUGAUUGUGGUUUUGUAUUCUGCCUGCUUUUAUGUUGUAGUGAACUGUUAUCAUGCUAUGCUCAAACAUACAUACCAGUUUUGUAUUGCAUGCAUAUGUACAUAGUGUAUGUAUAUAAAAAAAAGGUUUAAUAUAUACUGGCCUAUUACAAGUCAACCUAAGCUGUAGCAUGCAUGUUUCAAGUAUAGAGGGAGUUAUGGUUUUUUAUGUCAAAUUCUAUUGUUUUUAAUUUGCAUAAGUAAUGUGAAGGAAACGAAUUUGAGAAAUGUAUGUGUCCUAUGUUUUUCUGAUUUCUCUCAAAUUGAAUACAAUCAUGUAGGUAUUAAAUGAAAGUAUAAAUGGUUUACAAAUUGUAUCUAUUAAAGAUAUCUAAUUUUAUACAUGAAAUUCAAAUGAAUGAAAGAAUCAUAUUGAUUGACCUUUGUGAGAAUGAUUUGAUGAAUAAAUGUCAAUUGUUUUAUAAGU